rnacentral:lncRNA from 1 species
AAAUCGCUGCUCUGCCGCGCGCCUACGCAAGGAAAGAUUCAAGGGUCCCUCCACUUCAGGGAGUGGAGCCCGCGCCUCGGCACGGAUCAGCUGUGCGUCUCCUUUGGCCUACUGGCUCCUCUGCUUGUGUCUAUAGCUAGCUGGACGCAUCGUGACUUUAUCUUCUCAUCUUUCCUGGCGCCCCCAGACGCAUUUCCUGGUCCCUCGAGGCAGCGGCGUCUGGGGAGUGCACUUUGCACAGACAGGGAAACCGAGGCACUCAGCGGUCUCCAAUGGAGACGCUGUAAUCGCAUUCCACGACCAGCUAGCGCUAUAAGCGCUGCCUCUAAAGCGGAAGGCCUCCCAGUCCUUCUCGACAGGAAGCAAUAUUUGCAUAUCUAAGGAGAACAAGAUUCGGCAAUGUGCUCCGGGAGCAAGUGCAGGCAUGGAACGGUAUGGGCUGGAGGGGGACAGACCUUCAGAGGCGGCUGCCCGUUCCCUGUAGUGUCACAUAAGAUUUUUAGAAGAUAGGAGUUUUCACAGUGGCGGCAGAGCCCUCUGCUAAAUCCUCAUAUUAGAUGUCAAAGGUGGCAUGUCAUUUGACCCAAUGGCUUUUUUAGUCAUUUAUCUUCCUAACACCUAUGAGAGCCAGGUGUGGUGGCAGGCACCUGUAAUCUCAGCUACUCAGGUGGCUGAGGCCAGGGAAUCGCUUGAACCUGGAAGGUGGAGGUUGCAGCAAGCCGAGAUUGCACCACUGCACUUCAGCCUGGGUGACAGAGUGAGACUUUGUCUCAAAAAAGAAGGAGAUUCUGACACAUGCUAUAACAUGGAUGAACCUUGAGGACAUUAUGGGCUACAGUUACCAAAAUGGCAUGGUACUGGUACAUAAACAGACACACAGACCAAUGGAACAGAAUAGAGAACCCAGAAAUAAGACUGCACACCUACAACUGUCUGAUCUGUGACAAACCUGAUGAAAACAAGCAAUGGGAAAAGGUUCCCUAUUCAACAAAUGGUGCUGGGAUAACUGGAUACUCAUAUACAAAAGACUGAAACUGGACUUUUUCCUUAACCAUAUACAAAAAUUAACUCAAAGUGGAUUAAGGACUUAAAUGUAAAACCCAAAACUGUAAAAGCCUGGAAGACAACCUAGGCAAUACCAUUCAGGACAUAGACACAGACAAAGAUUUCGUGACAAAAAUGCCAAAAGCAAUUGCAACAAAAGCAAAAAUUGACAAAUGGAACCUAAUUAAACUACAGAGCUUCUGCACAGCAAAAGAAAUUAUCAACAGAGUAAACAGAUAACCUACAGAAUGGGAGAAAUUUUUUGCAAACAGUGCAUCGACAAAGAUCUAAUAUCUAGCAUCUAUAAAGAACUUAAACAAAGUUGCAAGAAAAAAAAAUCACCCCAUUAAAAACUGGGCAAAGGACAGGACAUGAACAGACACUUUUCAAAAGAAGACAUACAUUUGGCCAACAAUUAUAUGAAAAAAGCUCAACGUCACUGAUCAUUAGAGAAACUCAAAUCAAACCACAAUGAGAUACUGUCUCAUACCAGUCAGAAUGGCUAAUAUGAAAACGUCCAAAAAUGACAGAUGCUGGUGAGGUUGUGGAGAAAGGGAACACUUUACACGGUUGGUGAGAGUGUAAAUUAGUUCAGCCAUUGUGGAAGACAGUGUGGUGAUUCUUCAAAGACCUAAAGACAGAAAUACCAUUCCAUUCAGCAAUCCCAUUACUGGGUAAUAUACCCAAAGGAAUAUAAAUCAUUCUGUCAUAAAGAUGCAUGUGUGUAUGUUUACUGCAGCACUAUUCACAAUAGCAAAGACAUGGAAUUAACCUAACAUCAAUGGUAGACUGGAUGAAGAAAAUGUGGUACAUAUACAUUGUGGAGUACUAUGCAGCCAUAAAAAAGAACAAGAUCAUUUACUUUGCAGGGGCUUCAAUGGAGCUGGAGGCCAUAUCCUUAGCAGCUAAUGCAGCAACAGAAAACCAAAUAUUGCAUGUUCUCACUUAUAAGUGAGAGUCAAAUGAUGAGAACACAUAUAGGGAAACAACACACACUGAGGCCUAUUUGAGGGUAGAGGGUGGAAGGAGGGAGAGGAUCAGGAAAAAUAACUAAUGGGUACUGGGCUUAAAUACCUGGGUGAUGAAAUAAUCUGUACAACAAACCCCCAUGACACGAGUUUACCUAUGUAACAAACCUGCACAUGUACCCUUGAACUUAAAAUAAAAAUUUAAAAAAAGAAAAUAGGUUGCUUGACUCUGCACCUUUCCUUCUCUGCUUCUCACUUCCCAACUGUUCUAAUUUCAUAUGGGAAUCCAUGCAGUUAUGGAGAAUCCACCUUCAGCAAUGGGAAUGAACCUAGCACCACAUGACCUGGGCUGGAUCAAUCAUCACAUACUAUCCCCUGACCCAGUGAUUGGUUCAGGGAUGGACAUGUGACCUAAGAGAGUGUGGUUAGAGUAAACCUCAGGACUUCUGCUGAUAACAUUGGCAAAAAGAUUUUUUUUUUAAAUGAAUGAGGGCAUGUAGCCUCACAGAACAGCUGGAAGCCAUUUUGCAACCACAGAGAUCUGCCAAAGUCUCCCUAAGAUGAAGAAACACUGAGAUAGCAGAGCCAGGAAAUGGUGAAGGGAAUGUUGGUCCCUGGUCAAGUUGUUUGAGCUAGCCCUGAAGUUUUUCAAAUCUCUGUGGGCUUUUCAAUUGCAUGAGCUAGUAAUUUCCCUUUAUUACUUAAGCCAAUGUGAACCAGCUUUUCUGUUACUUAGAACCAAAAACAUUCUGCUACAUCAUUGAUACACGUCAAACACCCCCUUCCUUUUACAGAAGAAAAGACUAAAUCUCAUGGAUGCUACGUGGCUAGUUAGGAGGAAUUGCCUUCCCAGUUCCAGGCCUUUCUCCUUUUACUACUCUAGCCACUUGUGAUGGGUUUGGUAACAAUGAGUAAAAUGUGCAUUCUCCUUAUUUCUAACCACGGAUUGGAUAUGUUCAGAAAUAUUAAAACUGAUUUUCCUCAAGUGUAUCUUCUGGCAAUUAAUGUCAUUGCUUUAUAGCCACUCUGUACUACGGGCCCUUGUGAUUCAUUAGAAAAAACAAAGGAUCAAAUAGUUAGAGAAGGUAUAAGGACCUUGUUUAAAAUUUUAUUUAAUUUGCAGCUAAUUUACCAGCAACUUAGGCUCAACCACGUAUGCUGCUUUGCUAGUUUCUUCAAAACUUGUCAUGCACUUUCAUUUCUUGGUAAUCAUCCCUCAUUACCAUUUCUUAUCUUUCAAAAACACAGCCUCACCACACUGUAUUCUUACCUUUGGUGCCUCCCUCUACAGCUAGAAUUUCCAGAUUCUGUGGGCUCUUCCUCUGUAAACUCUAAAAAUCCUUCCAUUUUUAUCUAUACAUACUAUUUCCCCCACUCUAACAGAUCUUACCUAUCACCAACCCUAAAAUUACCUAACAAAAUGCUCAUCACAUCUUCAAGGAAAUGUCCCACAGUGAGAGAAAAGAGAAAGGAACCUGUGUUUAUUGUGCUAGGAAGAUACUAGAUACUUUACAGACAUUAACUCAUUUAAUUUUCAUGACCACACCAUGGUAAGUAGGUAGUAGUAUCUCAGUCUAAAAAUAAGGAAACUGAGGUUGGGUGAGUCAUAGGGUUGAAUUCCAAACCUAGGUGUGUGCAGUUCUAAAGAUACUUUCUUCCACUGCUUCUGUUGGACAAUAGAUUUUGCCCCUUUUGUACCAGCUCCAAAGGAUAGUGACCGCCUGGAUCUCGUGUUGAGAAGACUGAAGCCUCAUCCAGGUUGACAGGGAAAGACAAAAGGAUGUCUUGCCAAAGCUUGCCAAGGGGGAAAGUGGCAAUCCACACACCACUUAUUUCACAUUUCUUCAGGCCUGUGCCUGGGGCAGUUCUAGAGGUUUCCCAGGAGAAGGACAGGUGCACCAGGGAGUCUGGCUAUAAAGUUUGUACACUAGAAUCUGUUGGCAGAUUCUGUUGCUUAAAGUUGAGUUUGCAUUCAUACUUUAUAUCUGAAGAAAUGGGAAGUUAGGGAGUUAACCACUGUCUAUUGGGAAGUGAUUCAUGAAUCAGAACAGGUGAGAAUGUCAGGCUCUGAAAUGAACAGCACACUUCUGUAUGGAAUGUACUGGGGCAGCAUACCUGCCUUCUUUCUCAGAUCAAUGUUGACACACUUAAAUUUGUGAAUAAGGCCUUCCAGGAUAUCUUGUUUAGGAAGAACCAGUUCACUUGCUAGUAUCUAGGCUUUCUAGGUAUCACGAGGGCUUUCUGUCAAAGCAUAAACAAGCAGUGAGAAAUCAUCAGUGUUCUCUCUCUGAAGAGAGAGACACCAGGAAAGGAGAGAGGGUAGCAAGUUAGCAGGCAUGGAAAGCUGCUGCUUUGCAGAUGUGUUCAUCAGGCAUAAUCCUUAGCUGGAUGUUAGACAGUACCAGAAGUUGCAUGGUGACUUGUCUGAUGGUUGCAAAGAUAUUGGUCCUCAUGUGGGAUUAUUCAAGAUAUUCAGAAGGGAAGAAGCUGAAUCUGGUUACAAAAGGUGUUCCUUAAAUACGUAAUGAAUGAAUGAAUAAACAGUUCAAUGGAAAUUGGGGCAAAUUAAGGAUUCAGUAGAUGUGAGGUGUAUUUGUCUCAUGUCCUCAUCUGAUGAACAUCUACCAUAUUCAGUUGUCUAGUGAGGACUCUUUUAGUGUAGAAACCAAGGAGGCACAUUUGGGGUUCAUUUAGAGAUGGGGUAUUUGGGGCUGGGGGGAAGCCAGCAUAUGAAUGAUGGGCUUCACCAGGAGACAAAGGGCAUCUGUCUAAGGGAUGGAUGCUGAGGGUGGACCUGGCAGGCUGAGCAGGUGAAACUCUUCCAUUGGAGCAGACUGUGGGUUUAUUUGAGCUUAAGAAAAGGAGGUCAUUCCCAAGAAUGAAUAGCAGUGGAUUUGUAGACUUUGAAAUUAACAGAUCAAAGACACCAGAUCUCUGUAGAGAACUUAAUAUGAUCUCUAGAUUCUGAAGCUCCAAUUCUCAGCCCUGGCUGCACCCUAGAAUCACCUGGGAGCUUUUCAACCCUACCACUGCCAGGGUUUCUCCCCCAGAGCUUUGGAUUCAGGCAGUUCAGAGUGAGGCCCUGGAAUCAGUAUUUUCAAAAAGACCUCCAAGUGGCUCUGAGAAUAUCACUGCAGUUGAGACUGUCCACUCUAGACAUAACUCAAAGCAGGCAAAUUUUCAGGAUUCCAUGGCUAGACUAUGACAUUUCCAACAACCUCAAGAGAGACAUUUUAGGAUUAUUCAUUCAUACUGUGUGCAUCCUUGGUUUCUCACUAGCCCCUGUUCUUAAGGCCUGGCAGAUUCCCAGGUGACUUCUAUCCAUGAGAGUGUCCCAAGAAGGGCCACUGGGAAACACACUUAUAGAGAGUUUGGAUUAUGAUCCCAAAAGACACAUUCCUGAAUGCCAUCAUCCCCGAGGUUGAAAUCCUGAAAGAUCAAAAUUUCUAAAGACUAAAUCCUUAACAUCUAAAAUCCUGAAAAUCACAAUCAUAGGAUAGUUGCAUCAUGUUAGGUGAAACUGUUACCUUGUUGUGGUCUUUAUUUGGAAAUUAAGUAUGGUUUAAGGAGAUGCAUAUAGUGCCAAGUUGACAGGGAUGGAUUUAUUGACUUAAUUUGAGAUGUCAACUUGACUGAUUAAGGAAUGCCUGAAACCCUGGUAAAGCAUUAUUUUGGGUGUGUGUGAGGGUGUUUCCAGAGGACUGAGUAGACUCGGUGAGGAAGAUCUGCCCUUGAUAUUGGUGGACACCAUUCAAUUGGCCAACAAUCUGGAGAUAACAAAUAUAGAAGGCCAACUGGUCUCUCUCUGAGAGCUGGGACAGACUUUUCUUCUGCUGCCUUGGACAUCAGAACUCCAGGCUCACCAGCCUUUGCACUCCAGUACUUAACAGCAGCGGCCAUCUGGGUCCUGAGGCUUUUGGCCUCAGAGAGUAACACCAUUGUCUGCUGUGGUUCUCAAUAUAAAAACAUUGAAACUUCCUCAAUAAAUGAACAGAUUUCCUUUUUGUGUAUCUGCAUUUGUGAAAGACCAAAAUUUCUUGAGAUCUUGCCUUUUUGGGCCACUGCAUAUGCAGUGGUGACCUAUAGAGGUUUUUGAUUGAUCUUGUCAAAAGACAGGUUGUCCAUCACAGUAUUUCGGAUGACUGGAGUUAUAAAGCUAGGUACACACAACUACCAACCAUCAUGAUACAUGUUUAUACACUUUGUUUUUGGCAUAUUGCCUUAUGAAUACAGUUCAUCUGCUUGUAAUUGUUGUAAUCAUGUGACUGUUGUUAGAAUAGCUGAGUGCUUAUGUUUGCAAAGAUAUAUAUGUUAUUAUUGCCAAUUUUAUUGUGUAAAUUGGCCUCUGAAGUGCUCUGUCAGUUUUUAUAUGGUUCUCAAAUAAAUCUCCCUUAAAAAUGUAAA